UACGUAGGGACCAAGCGUUGUUCGGAUUUACUGGGCGUAAAGGGCGCGUAGGCGGCAAUUCAAGUCAGCUGUGAAAUCUCCGGGCUCAACUGGGAGUCUGCAGGCGAAACUGCCGUGCUGGAGUAUGGGAGAGGUGCGUGGAAUUCCUGGUGUAGCGGUGAAAUGCGUAGAUAUCAGGAGGAACACCUGUGGCGAAAGCGGCGCACUGGACCAUAACUGACGCUGAGGCGCGAAAGCUAGGGGAGCAAACAGG
rnacentral:rRNA from 1 species